CCGAGUGGCGAACGGGUGAGUAACACGUGGGUGAUCUGCCCUGCACUCUGGGAUAAGCCUGGGAAACUGGGUCUAAUACCGGAUAGGACCAUGCUUUAGUGUGUGUGGUGGAAAGUUUUUUCGGUGUAGGAUGAGCCCGCGGCCUAUCAGCUUGUUGGUGGGGUAAUGGCCUACCAAGGCGGCGACGGGUAGCCGGACUGAGAGGUUGGUCGGCCACAUUGGGACUGAGAUACGGCCCAG
rnacentral:rRNA from 1 species